rfam:Triticum aestivum genome assembly, contig: Triticum_aestivum_CS42_TGACv1_scaffold_020093_1AS
AUCCUACUCCCUCCGUUGCACAAUACAUGCCUUCUAUUUGUCAAAAUAUAUAUGUAUCUAGACAUGUUUUAGUAUAUAGGUACAUCCAUUUUUGGACAAAUGGAAGUCAAGUAUUUUGGAACGGAGGGAGUACACA